rnacentral:rRNA from 1 species
CUACGGGGGGCUGCAGUGAGGAAUAUUGCACAACGGGGGGAACCCUGAUGCAGCAACGCCGCGUGGAGGAUGACGCAUUUCGGUGUGUAAACUCCUUUUAUAUGUCAAGAAAAUGACGGUAGCAUAUGAAUAAGCACCGGCGUAACUCCGUGCCAGCAGCCGCGGUAAUACGGAGGGUGCGAAGCGUUACUCGGAAUCACUGGGCGUAAAGGACGCGUAGGCGGGUUGGAAAGUCAGGUGUGAAAUCCUACAGCUUAACUGUAGAACUGCACUUGAAACUUCUAAUCUAGAGUAUGGGAGGGGGAGAUGGAAUUAGUGGUGUAGGGGUAAAAUCCGUAGAUAUCACUAGGAAUACCUAAAGCGAAGGCGAUCUCCUGGAACAUUACUGACGCUAAGGCGUGAAAGCGUGGGGAGCAAACAGGAUUAGAUACCCUGGUAGUC